rnacentral:rRNA from 1 species
GACGAACGCUGGCGGCGUGCUUAACACAUGCAAGUCGAACGGAAAGGCCCUGCUUUUGUGGGGUGCUCGAGUGGCGAACGGGUGAGUAACACGUGAGUAACCUGCCCUUGACUUUGGGAUAACUUCAGGAAACUGGGGCUAAUACCGGAUAGGCGCUCCUGCUGCAUGGUGGGGGUUGGAAAGUUUCGGCGGUUGGGGAUGGACUCGCGGCUUAUCAGCUUGUUGGUGGGGUAGUGGCUUACCAAGGCUUUGACGGGUAGCCGGCCUGAGAGGGUGACCGGCCACAUUGGGACUGGGAUACGGCCCGGACUCCUACGGGGGGCAGCAGUGGGGAAUAUGGCAAAAGGGGCGGAAGCCUGAUGCAGGAACGCGGCGGGGGGAAGAACGGCCUUCGGGUGGUAAACCGCUUUCGCCUGGGACGAGGCGUGUGUGACGGUAAUGGGUAAAGAAGCACCGGCUAACUACGUG